GGCCAGACUCCUACGGGAGGCAGCAGUGGGGAAUAUUGCACAAUGGGGGGAACCCUGAUGCAGCGACGCCGCGUGAGUGAAGAAGUAUCUCGGUACGUAAAGCUCUAUCAGCAGGGAAGAAAAUGACGGUACCUGACUAAGAAGCCCCGGCUAACUACGUGCCAGCAGCCGCGGUAAUACGUAGGGGGCAAGCGUUAUCCGGAUUUACUGGGUGUAAAGGGAGCGUAGACGGCGAUGCAAGCCAGAUGUGAAAGCCCGGGGCUCAACCCCGGGACUGCAUUUGGAACUGUGUGGCUGGAGUGUCGGAGAGGCAGGCGGAAUUCCUAGUGUAGCGGUGAAAUGCGUAGAUAUUAGGAGGAACACCAGUGGCGAAGGCGGCCUGCUGGACGAUGACUGACGUUGAGGCCCGAAAGCGUGGGGAGCAAACAGGAUUAGAUACCCCCGUA
rnacentral:rRNA from 1 species